GUGCUUGCUUUGGCAGCACAUACACUGCAAUUGGAAUGAUACAGAGAAGGUCAGCAUGGCCCCUGUGCAAGGAUGCACAGAAAUUUGUGAAGCAUUCCAUAUUUUU
ensembl:snRNA U6 U6 spliceosomal RNA